rnacentral:rRNA from 1 species
UGGGGAAUCUUGCGCAAUGGGGGGGAACCCUGACGCAGCGACGCCGCGUGCGGGGAUGGAGGCCUUCGGGUCGUAAACCGCUUUCAGCAGGGAUGAGACAAGACGGUACCUGCAGAAGAAGCCCCGGCUAACUACGUGCC